AUUGAACGCUGGCGGCAGGUCUAACACAUGCAAGUCGAGCGAGCGGCGGACGGGUGAGUAAUGUAUGGGGAUCUGCCCGAUAGAGGGGGAUAACUACUGGAAACGGUUGCUAAUACCGCCUACUAACGGAUGAACCCAUCUGGGAUUAGCUAGUAGGUGGGGUAAAGGCUCACCUAGGCGACGAUCUUUAGCUGGUCUGAGAGGAUGAUCAGCCACACUGGGACUGAGACAGUGCCCAGACUCCUACGGGAGGCAGCAGUGGGGAAUAUUGCACAAGGGGUGCAAGCCUGAUGCAGCCAUGCCGCGGUUAUGAAGAAGGCCUUAGGGUUGUAAAGUACUUUCAGCGGGGAGGCGUUACCCGCAGAAGAAGCACCGGCUAACUCCGUGCCAGCAGCCGCGGUAAUUC
rnacentral:rRNA from 1 species